rnacentral:rRNA from 1 species
UACGUAGGGUGCAAGCGUUGUCCGGAAUUAUUGGGCGUAAAGAGCUCGUAGGCGGUUUGUUGCGUCGGCUGUGAAAUCCCGAGGCUCAACCUCGGGUCUGCAGUCGAUACGAGCAAACUAGAGUGUUGCAGGGGAGACUGGAAUUCCUGGUGUAGCGGUGAAAUGCGUAGAUAUCGGGAGGAACACCAGUGGCGAAGGCGGCUCACUGGACCGGUACUGACGCUGAUGCGCGAAAGCGUGGGGAGCAAACGGG